rnacentral:rRNA from 1 species
UACGGGGCUCUCACCCUCUGUGGCGUCCCGGUCCAGGGAACUCAGGAGGCACCUCACCAAAAGCUUCCUCUACAAAUUACAACUCGGGCUGAAGCCAGAUUUAAAAUUUGAGCUGUUGCCGCUUCACUCGCCGUUACUAGGGCAAUCCCUGUUGGUUUCUUUUCCUCCGCUUAUUGAUA